CACGAACGCUGGCGGCAGGCUUAACACAUGCAAGUCGAGCGCCCCGCAAGGGGAGCGGCAGACGGGUGAGUAACGCGUGGGAAUCUACCCAUCUCUACGGAAUAACGCAUGGAAACGUGUGCUAAUACCGUAUACGUCCUUCGGGAGAAAGAUUUAUCGGAGAUGGAUGAGCCCGCGUUGGAUUAGCUAGUUGGUGGGGUAAAGGCCUACCAAGGCGACGAUCCAUAGCUGGUCUGAGAGGAUGAUCAGCCACACUGGGACUGAGACACGGCCCAGACUCCUACGGGAGGCUGCAGUCAGGAAUAUUCCGCAAUGCGCGAAAGCGUGACGGAGCGACGCCGCGUGCAGGAUGAAGCCCUUCGGGGUGUAAACUGCUUUUACGAGGGAAGAAUUUGUGACGGUACCUCGUGAAUAAGAGGUUGCUAACUCUGUGCCAGCCGCCGCCGUAACAC
rnacentral:rRNA from 1 species